CCAUGAGUAAAGUGGCGACCGGGUGAGUAACACGUGACUAACCUACCCUAGAGUGGGGGAUAACCGCGGGAAACUGCGGCUAAUACCGGAUGCUCCCUACGGGGGAAAGAUUUAUCGCCGAAGGAGGGGCCCGCGUCCGAUUAGGUAGAUGGUGAGGUAACGGCUCACCAAGCCUGUGAUCGGUAGCUGGUCUGAGAGGAUGAUCAGCCACACUGGGACUGAGACACGGCCCAGACUCCUACGGGAGGCAGCAGUGGGGAAUAUUGGACAAUGGGGGCAACCCUGAUCCAGCAAUGCCGCGUGAGUGAUGAAGGCCUUCGGG
rnacentral:rRNA from 1 species